UAGGAUCUCUUAGGUGGUUAUAGUUGGGAAAUUCUGUUAUGGAUUAGUUUGAGAAUUGGUUAUAGAAAUCAGUAAGUUAGUUAUGAAUUUCUACUUUGACAGUUAGGAUAUAGUUAAGUGAGGUAGUUAGGAAUGUGAGGUUAGUUAUGGGAGACUGCAAAGAGGGUCUGUUAUGAAUUUAGUCAGAAACUGUCGACUCGGUCGGUUAGAGAGAACUGUUGUUGUGAGCUGGGUCUUUUCUUCAUUGAUUUUUUUGUUAUAUAGCUGUUCUACUGCGCUGGAUUUCUGAUUGGCUCCUAAUUGUUUUUUCACAGUGACAUAGCCUGCCCGGUUUAAGUUUCAAUCUGCACGAUGGCAUUGCUUGGAUGGAUGUUGGUUAUUGUCACAUACUGGUUUGGAUGCACGCAACAGAUACUGAAUUUCUGACAUGUUGAUUACGGUAAUUGAGUUGUUGGAGCGAGGGGAACAACUUUGAAUCAAGUUUUGUGACUUAUUUGACUACAUUUUCACAUGAUCCAGAUUUCUCCGAGACUAACUGUGAUGCUGGGCUGUUUGUAUGUUUGGACAUUGGGUGCAGGGCUGGUUAGAAGUUGGGUUACCAUGGGCUGAAUUGAAAUUGUACUUAGGAAUAAAGCUCCAACCUAUUAUGAAUGAAAGUCGUGGCAUUUUGAACAGUGUACUGGUUUAUGGUAAUGGAACUCUGUGCAAACUUUGGACUUCGGAAUUGCGCCGCGUCUCGGAUUGGAUGGUUUGAUGAAACUAUAACUGGUGUGGCAAAAGGAACAUGGCAUAAUUUGGAGGUAUCGUGGCUCAUGAAGAAAUAAUGAUGAUGAUGAAUGGUGGAAUCUUAAAGAAACUUGGAGCGAAUAGAUCCGGGGUCCACAAGAGUCAAAGUCAGAUUUUGGUCAACCAUGUAGUUUCUUAAUGUAUUUCAAUGGUGUAAUGCAUCAAAGGAUCAACUGUUUUUUUUUAAUUGUUGUAAUUUUCUGUUUGGUUUUUGUUGUAAGGUUCCGAAAAACAGCAGGGUAUAGGUAGGAUUUGUAAGGUAAAUAAAGGAUUUUUGUGAGAUUGUUUCUGUAGUUUGAUUUUUAGUAAUGGACAUGGCUUCAAUGUAAUUGGAAUUUGUGUGUGUGUGGAUUUGUAUUGGGCCAGUGUAUUUGAAUGGUUUCAAGAGCUAGAACUUGUAUAUGGU